rnacentral:tRNA from 1 species
AAAAUUAUAGUAUAAGUUAGUAUGCUCUGUUGUCGAUAGGGAGGUUUGUAAUUUUG